CUUGCUCCCGGAUGUUAGCGGCGGACGGGUGAGUAACACGUGGGUAACCUGCCUGUAAGACUGGGAUAACUCCGGGAAACCGGAGCUAAUACCGGAUAGUUCCUUGAACCGCAUGGUUCAAGGAUGAAAGACGGUUUCGGCUGUCACUUACAGAUGGACCCGCGGCGCAUUAGCUAGUUGGUGGGGUAAUGGCUCACCAAGGCGACGAUGCGUAGCCGACCUGAGAGGGUGAUCGGCCACACUGGGACUGAGACACGGCCCAGACUCCUACGGGAGGCAGCAGUAGGGAAUCUUCCGCAAUGGACGAAAGUCUGACGGAGCAACGCCGCGUGAGUGAUGAAGGUUUUCGGAUCGUAAAGCUCUGUUGUUAGGGAAGAACAAGUGCGAGAGUAACUGCUCGCACCUUGACGGUACCUAACCAGAAAGCCACGGCUAACUACGUGCCAGCAGCCGCGGUAAUACGUAGGUGGCAAGCGUUGUCCGGAAUUAUUGGGCGUAAAGGGCUCGCAGGCGGUUUCUUAAGUCUGAUGUGAAAGCCCCCGGCUCACCCGGGGAGGGUCAUUGGAAACUGGGAAACUUGAGUGCAAAGAGGAGAGUGGAAUUCCACGUGUAGCGGUGAAAUGCGUAGAGAUGUGGAGGAACACCAGGUGG
rnacentral:rRNA from 1 species